CCGAUUCUAAAUAAGUCGGCGAAUAAAGGGGUGGGUAAGGACGGUGCCAGCCGCCGCGGUAAUACCGGCGCCUCAAGUGGUAGUCGCUUUUGUUGGGCCUAAAACGUCCGUAGCCGGUCUGGUACAUUCGUGGGUAAAUCAACUCGCUCAACGAGUUGAAUUCUGCGAGGACGGCCAGACCUGGGACCGGGAGAGGUGUGGGGUACUCUCAGGGUAGGGGUAAAAUCCUGUCAUCCUGAGAGGACCACCUGUUGCGAAGGCUCCACACUAGAACGUAUCCGACGGUCAGGGACGAAGCCUAGGGGCACGAACCGGAUUAGAUACCCGGGUAGUCCUAGGUGUAAACGCUGUGGACUUGAUGUUGGGGACGCUCCGAGCGUUCUCAGUGUCGAAGCGAAGGUGAUAAGUCCACUGCCUGGGGAGUACGGUCGCAAGGCUGAAACUUAAAGGAAUUGGCGGGGGAGCACCGCAACCUGAGGAUUGUGCGGUUUAAUUGGAUUCAACGCCGGGAAUC
rnacentral:rRNA from 1 species